rnacentral:lncRNA from 1 species
CGCAAGAUGGCUGUGCCUGUCAACUGCAUGGAGCUUCGUUCAAGUAUUUUCUGAGCCUGAUGGAUUUACAGUGAUCUUCAGUGGUCUGGGGAAUAACGCUGGUGGAACCAUGCACUGGAAUGACACACGCCCGGCACAUUUCAGGAUACUAAAAGUGGUUUUAAGGGAGGCUGUGGCUGAAUGCCUCAUGGAUUCUUACAGCUUGGAUGUCCAUGGGGGACGAAGGACUGCAGCUGGCUGAGAGGGUUGAGAUCUCUGUUUACUUAGAUCUCUGCCAACUUCCUUUGGGUCUCCCUAUGGAAUGUAAGACCCCGACUCUUCCUGGUGAAGCAUCUGAUGCACGUUCCAUCCGGCGCUCAGCUGGGCUUGAGCUGACCACACUCCCUGGAGCCUUCUCCCGAGGUGCGCGGGUGACCUUGGCACAUACAGCCAUCGUGAUGGUACUUUAAGUGGAGGCUGAAUCAUCUCCCCUUUGAGCUGCUUGGCACGUGGCUCCCUUGGUGUUCCCCUUUUACUGCCAGGACACUGAGAUUUGGAGAGAGUCUCACUCUGUGGUCCAGGCUGAAGUACAGUGGCAUGAUCCCAGGUCACUGCAACCCCCACCUCCCGGGUUCAAGUGAUUCUCCUGCCUCAGCCUCCCGAGUAGCUGGUAUUACAAGCGUGUGCCACAAAGCCUGGCUAAGUUUUGUAUUUUUAGUAGAGACGGGGUUUCACCAUGUUGGCCAGGUUGGUCUCGAACUCCUGACCUCAAGUGAUCCACCCACUUUGGCCUUUCAACGUGCUGGGAUUACAGGCGAGAGUCACCGCACCCGGACGACUUUGACAUUUUUGAAGAGUCCAGAAUCCUGUUACACCUGGGAUUUAGGCACUUUCAAUCUGAAAAAAUACAUAUCCUUUCAGCACUCUGGACGGACUUGAGAACUGUCCUUACGUGACCUAAAGCUGGAGUAUUUUGAGAUUGGAGAAUUAAGAGCCAGUCUUGGUGCUCUAUGUUCACCUGGUUCAUCUGAGGAGCUGCAUCUACCCUGCCCAUGCCAUAGAUCCUGCCCUGUUUGCUUCUCCUGUUGCUGCCAGUGGACAUGAGAAGGACAGAAUAACGGGCUCCCAGAUUCACAAGCCCCACCAAGAGGAUCACCCCAGGAACGCUUGGAGGCUGAGGAGUUCACUGAGGCUACUGCAUCUUGAGACUCAGGAUGAAGACCCAGCUUGGGGCUGUCAAAGAGGCCUGAAGAGGCAGAACACCCCAGAGGAGCCUGGGGCCACCACCCAGCGUCACUGUGGGAAAACGGCAGCGGGAAAUGUCCUCUCGCCUGCGUGCUCCACCUCAGUCCAUGCCUUCCCUCCUUCUGGAAGCCUUGCCUGACCACUGGCCUGCCCCUUCUAUGGGAAUCACUACUGACCUUGCAGCUUAUUAUAGACUUAUAUGUUUUUUGCAUGUCUGACACCCAUGACUCCACCUGAACCUGAUGGCUCCACCCAGAAGCAAUUCAGCCCAACAGGAGGACAGCUUCAACCCAUUACGAUUUCAUCUCUGCCCCAACCACUCAGCAGCAAGCACCUGUUACCUGUCCACCCCCACCCCUUCCCCCAAACUGCCUUUGAAAAAUCCCUAACCUAUGAGCUUUGAAUAAGAUGAGUAUGAACUCCAUCGCCCACGUGGCGUGGCUGGCCUCGUGUCUAGUAAAUUCUUUUUCUACUA